AUACGUAGGGUGCGAGCGUUGUCCGGAAUUACUGGGCGUAAAGAGCUCGUAGGUGGUUUGUCGCGUCGUCUGUGAAAUUCCGGGGCUUAACUCCGGGCGUGCAGGCGAUACGGGCAUAACUUGAGUACUGUAGGGGAGACUGGAAUUCCUGGUGUAGCGGUGAAAUGCGCAGAUAUCAGGAGGAACACCGGUGGCGAAGGCGGGUCUCUGGGCAGUAACUGACGCUGAGGAGCGAAAGCAGGGGUAGCGAACAGGAUUAGAUCCCCUGGUAGUCCAUGCCGUAAACGGUGGGCGCUAGGUGUAGGGGUCUUCCACGACUUCUGUGCCGUAGCUAACGCAUUAAGCGCCCCGCCUGGGGAGUACGGCCGCAAGGCUAAAACUCAAAGGAAUUGACGGGG
rnacentral:rRNA from 1 species